ensembl:lncRNA
UAAAAACAACAUUAUGUACACAUUUUAAUAUCUACACUCAUUUUACAUUAUACCACAAACGCUAUAUAUAAAGCUGUGUCCCAAAAUGGCACCCUAUUCCCUAUAUAGUGCACUACUUUGACCAUAUGGGAACAAUCCUAAAGUAGUGUACUAUGUAGGGAAUAGGGUGCCAACUGGGACUCAGAUGUCUUUUCAGUUCCAUGAUGACAGUCAGGCAGUGGAAAGGAUCAGUGGGUCAUGGAGGUUUUCCUUGGUUGGUCACUGAGGAGAAACUCUGGGCACUGUCCUGUAUAUGAAUAAAUCCAGCUGACAGUCAGACUGGCUAGAGAGUCUGGAUCCGAAAUGGCAUCCUAAACCCUAUAUAGUGCAAUACUUCUGACCAGGCCCCAUAAGGGUAGUUUGGGAAUGGGCCCAGAGGGGUAGUUGGGGUACGAGAACAGGAGAGGUCGUCGGGGUAUGGGCCCAGAGGGGUAGUCAGGGAGCGGGGCCAGAGGGGUAGUCAGGGUACGGGCCCAGAGGGGUAGUCAGGGUACGGGCCCAGAGGGGUAGUCAGGGUACGGGCCCAGAGGGGUAGUCAGGGUACGGGCCCAGAGGGGUAGUCAGGGUGCGGGCCCAGAGGGGUAGUCAGGGUGCGGGCCCAGAGGGGUAGUCAGGGUGCGGGCCCAGAGGGUAGUCAGGGUGCGGGCCCAGAGGGGUAGUCAGGGUGCGGGCCCAGAGGGGUCUGAUAAAGUAGUGCACUAUAUUGGGAAUAGGGUGCCAUUUGGGAUGCAGUGGCAGUGUCUCUCCAGUCACAUAGACUGGUCCCAGACCUGUAGUAAGGUCAGACCAUCAUGCUAGCCAGAGGGGUUGGCUGAAGACAAAACAGAUCUGGGAACAGUGUUUAUGACUCUCCAGUCAGUAAUCUGUACUCAGCCUCAUCUGGCCUUAUACACAUUCUACACAUCCAGCAGUAGUCUGGGUGGUUCAGGAACUAUACAUCCAGCAGUAGUCUGAGUGGUUACAGUAACUAUACAUCCAGCAGUAGUCUGGGUGGUUACAGUAACUACACAUCCAGCAGUAGUCUGGGUGGUUACAGAACUAUACAUCCAGCAGUAUCUAGGGUGGUUACAGUAACUAUACAUCCAGCAGUAGUCUGGGUGGUUACAGUUACAGUAACUAUACAUCCAGCAGUAGUCUGGGUGGUUACAGUAACUAUACAUCCAGCAGUAGUCUGGGUCAUUUCAGUAACUAUACAUCCAGCAGUAGUCUG